GAUGAAGAACGCAGCGAAAUGCGAUAAGUAAUGUGAAUUGCAGAAUUCAGUGAAUCAUCGAAUCUUUGAACGCACAUUGCGCCCGCCAGUAUUCUGGCGGGCAUGCCUGUUCGAGCGUCAUUUCAACCCUCAAGCCCAGCUUGGUGUUGGGGAUCGGCACAGGCGCCCUCGGGCGCCCGCCGUCCCCUAAAUCUAGUGGCGGUCCCGCUGCAGCCUCCUCUGCGUAGUAGUUUUCUCCUCGCAAGGGCAGCUCGGUGGCGACCUCGCCGUAAAACCCCCAACUUCUGAAAGGUUGACCUCGAAUCAGGUAGGAAUACCCGCUGAACUUAAGCAUAUCAAAAGCGGAGGA
rnacentral:misc_RNA from 1 species